AUACAUAUAUAUAGAUGUGCGUUUGUAUAUGCAUAUGUGAUCAUGUGUCAAAUACACAGAAAUGGAGAUCUUAGUCCCAAUCUGUGAUUUCUUAAACUUAGAAAACUCCAAGCAGGGGGGACUCUCUUCAUUAAUUCUUUCUUCAUUCAUUCUUCAUUAAUUCUCAUUAUCACAGUAGUAGAGACUUGGGACACUGCUUGGGACACUGAAGAAUUUCAGCGACCUGCCCCAGGACUUUGGACUGGCCUAUCUCCAGAGAUCGUAGGUUUCUUGGACAUCUUCACAAAGAAGUUGGACGAUCACACAUUGAGCAUAGCCCAACACCUUGCUUGAUGAAAGGAUGCCAUGCUGGACGAUCCUUUGCCAGUGUCUCCCAUGUUUCACAAUUGAUACCAAAGUUCUUCAGAGAGACCUUGAGAAUGCCCUUGUGUUAUUUCUUCUGAUGUCCAUGUCAGCCUUGUGUGAGUUCUCCACAAAAUAGCCUUUCAGGACAUCAUGGCAGACAGCAGGCAACAGGACAAAAGACAAUUUCCUUGGAGAGCUACAGACAAGGCUUUGAGAAUUACUGAUUGAUUCCAUCUACUGAUAGGGAAACUUGCUGUAUUGACACAAUUUUAUUCUAGAAAAAUGAUCAAAUAACAACUCCAGUCUCAGUGACCUA